UACGUAGGGGGCUAGCGUUGUCCGGAUUUAUUGGGCGUAAAGAGCGCGUAGGCGGCCAGAUAGGUCUGCUGUGAAAACUCGAGGCUCAACCUCGAGCUGUCGGCGGAAACCAUUUGGCUAGAGUCCGGAAGAGGAGAGUGGAAUUCCUGGUGUAGCGGUGAAAUGCGCAGAUAUCAGGAAGAACACCUAUGGCGAAGGCAGCUCUCUGGGACGGUACUGACGCUGAGACGCGAAAGCGUGGGGAGCGAACAGG
rnacentral:rRNA from 1 species